GACGAACGCUGGCGGCGUGCCUAAUACAUGCAAGUAGAACGCUGAAGAGAGGAGCUUGCUCUUCUUGGAUGAGUUGCGAACGGGUGAGUAACGCGUAGGUAACCUGCCUUGUAGCGGGGGAUAACUAUUGGAAACGAUAGCUAAUACCGCAUAACAAUGGAUGACACAUGUCAUUUAUUUGAAAGGGGCAAUUGCUCCACUACAAGAUGGACCUGCGUUGUAUUAGCUAGUAGGUGAGGUAAUGGCUCACCUAGGCGACGAUACAUAGCCGGCCUGAGAGGGUGGUCGGCCACACUGGGACUGAGACACGGCCCAGACUCCUACGGGAGGCAGCAGUAGGGAAUCUUCGGCAAUGGGGGCAACCCUGAACGAGCAACGCCGCGUGAGUGAAGAAGGGUGUCGGAUCGUAAAGCUCUGUUGUAAGUCGAGAACGGGUAUGAGGGUGGAAAGUUCACGCUGUGACGGUAGCUGAAGAAAAAGCGACGGCUAACUACGUG
rnacentral:rRNA from 1 species